GACGAACGCUGGCGGCGUGCUUAACACAUGCAAGUCGAACGGAAAGGCCCUGCUUUUGUGGGGUGCUCGAGUGGCGAACGGGUGAGUAACACGUGAGUAACCUGCCCUUGACUUUGGGAUAACUUCAGGAAACUGGGGCUAAUACCGGAUAGGAGCUCCUGCUGCAUGGUGGGGGUUGGAAAGUUUCGGCGGUUGGGGAUGGACUCGCGGCUUAUCAGCUUGUUGGUGGGGUAGUGGCUUACCAAGGCUUUGACGGGUAGCCGGCCUGAGAGGGUGACCGGGCACAGAGGGAGAGAGAUGACGGCCAGACUGCAUCGGGAGCAAGCAGUGGGGAAUAGUGCAAAAAGGGCGGAAGCCUGAUAGAGCGACGCCGCGUGCGGGAACACGGACUGCGGGUAGGAAACCUCGUGCGCGUGUAACGAAGCGUGAGUGACGGUAAUGUGAAAAGAAGAACCGGCUAACUACGUG
rnacentral:rRNA from 1 species